CCAUAUAAGGACAUUGUAAUCUAUUAAUGUAUAUAUGCAUAUUAUAAGAGCUUUAAUAUUAGUUUAUUUUUUAUUUAACUUGUUAAUUAAAAUAAUUAUUUUAGUUUCGAAUAUGCCAUUGUAUAGAUUUCUAUAUAUAAUACUUAAAUUUUUUUAAAUUUUAUAAUAAUAUGUUUAUCAUUGAUUUAUAUAUUUAUUAUAUGUAUUUAUAUGAUUUACAAUGCGAAAGAUUCAGGAUACCUUCGG
rnacentral:rRNA from 1 species